rnacentral:misc_RNA from 1 species
GAUGAAGAACGCAGCGAAAUGCGAUAAGUAAUGUGAAUUGCAGAAUUCAGUGAAUCAUCGAGUCUUUGAACGCACAUUGCGCCCGCCAGUAUUCUGGCGGGCACGCCUGUUCGAGCGUCAUUACAACCCUCAGGCCCCCGGGCCUGGCGUUGGGGAUCGGCGGAGCCCCCCGUGGGCACACGCCGUCCCCCAAAUGCAGUGGCGGUCCCGCCGCAGCUUCCAUCGCGUAGUAGCUAACACCUCGCGACUGGAGAGCGGCGCGGCCACGCCGUAAAACACCCAACUCUUCUGAAGUUGACCUCGAAUCAGGUAGGAAUACCCGCUGAACUUAAGCAUAUCAAUAAGCGGAGGA